AGAAUAUAAGAAUCCGUCUCUUAACUUUUAACUAAAAAAACUAAGAUUUAAGAGCCGAUUCUUAACUUUUUUAGUUAAAAGUUAAGAGACAGAUUCUUAUAUUCC
rfam:Brassica oleracea var. oleracea cultivar TO1000 chromosome C5, whole genome shotgun sequence